AAGGCAGGCAGGAAGUGGAGAGCAAUGCAGUGCCUGAUCCUGGCAAACUGGCACCUCCACCUCCCAGCCCACUCUCCAUUGUCUUCAGACAAGAUAUGUACCAGGGAGAUAGUAUUCCAGAAACUUCUAAAAGACUCAGGGCAACUCCAAGAGUGGAGGCCCAGAAAGGUCCAGGAUGCCAGCAGCCAAGUUGGUAGCAGAGUCAAGACUUGAGGUCGCAUCUCUGUCGGCCCUGAUGCCCAGCUUCCCUCCACGCCACACAGCCUCCCCAUGAGUCAGCCAUCACGAGUUCCAGGCACCGGAGCUCACAUCCCCUUACAGCAGAAAGGGAUGUGGAGUUUUCACCUCUGUUCCAACUGGCCCUGCCUCUGGUCUGUGAGCAGACAGCUCUCAUCCCCAGAUUCUGACAACAGUUCCGGCAAACCUAUAGGACGAAAGCUACUUCAGGCCAUAUGUCCAAAGAGUCCUAGGAAUACUCCUUAGAGGGAAGUGGAGGGGCUUGAAAGAGUGGGCAGAUGAGAGAAUCCUGACAGUUAAAGACCAGGAUCUGCAGAAGUGUGCAUCCUACCAGGCACUUCCACAGGCUGCUUCAAACAGACAGUCUGAUGGGUUUGGAACAUGGGCUUCUCUGACUAAGACUUCUGGAGCCCCACAGGCAAGUAUUUCACACUCUUCCCAACCCUGAACAUAAACCAGUGGGGAAAAUGUCACUUCAAACCACAGCUUCUUUCUUGAAAGAGCUGACACUGUCAGAAACCUGGUGGGUUUCUAGAUACCAAAAGGUGGGUUUGGGGAGAAAUUUGGGGAAAGGGUAGUGGGAAGACUUGAACAGUUGGCACAGUAGAGAGGAAUCUGGCUUCCCAGUCAAUCAAGGAGGGGAGGAUGAGGUGGAGGGAUGGGAAGGGAAUAAGAGGAGGAAGCUAGAUUAGACGGCAAUGGGCUAGGGAGCUUUGUGGAGUGGUGAGGCCAACGAGAAAUCCUGGGUGACGAGACAGCCAAAAUAACUUUUCAGAACAUUUCAGAAAUAUGAUUUUAAAUUGUUUGCUGUGUGAUGUAAUCUCUCCCCAGUGGCCCACAAACCUUCAUUAAAAGUUCU
rnacentral:lncRNA from 1 species